rnacentral:rRNA from 5 species
GUGAGUAACCUGCCCUUGACUCUGGGAUAAGCGCUGGAAACGGCGUCUAAUACCGGAUAUGACAACCGACGGCAUCGUCUGGUUGUGGAAAGAAUUUUGGUCAAGGAUGGACUCGCGGCCUAUCAGCUUGUUGGUGAGGUAAUGGCUCACCAAGGCGACGACGGGUAGCCGGCCUGAGAGGGUGACCGGCCACACUGGGACUGAGACACGGCCCAGACUCCUACGGGAGGCAGCAGUGGGGAAUAUUGCACAAUGGGCGAAAGCCUGAUGCAGCAACGCCGCGUGAGGGACGACGGCCUUCGGGUUGUAAACCUCUUUUAGCAGGGAAGAAGCGAAAGUGACGGUACCUGCAGAAAAAGCACCGGCUAACUACGUGCCAGCAGCCGCGGUAAUACGUAGGGUGCAAGCGUUGUCC